UACGUAGGGUCCGAGCGUUGUCCGGAGUUAUUGGGCGUAAAGGGCUCGUAGGCGGUUCGUCACGUCGGGAGUGAAAACUCGGGGCUUAACCCCGAGCCUGCUUCCGAUACGGGCAGACUAGAGGUAGGCAGGGGAGAGCGGAACUCCUGGUGUAGCGGUGGAAUGCGCAGAUAUCAGGAGGAACACCGGUGGCGAAGGCGGUUCUCUGGGCAUUACCUGACGCUGAGGGGCGAAAGUGUGGGGAGCGAACAGG
rnacentral:rRNA from 1 species